rnacentral:rRNA from 1 species
GACGAACGCUGGCGGCGUGCUUAACACAUGCAAGUCGAACGAUGAAAGCUGGAGCUUGCUCCGGCUGGAUUAAUGGCGAACGGGUGAGUAACACGUGAGCAAUCUGCCCUUGACUCUGGGAUAACUCCGAGAAAUCGGUGCUAAUACCGGAUAUGACCCUUGGCGGCAUCGCUGGGGGUGGAAGGUUUUUCGGUCAAGGAUGAGCUCGCGGCCUAUCAGCUUGUUGGUGAGGUAAUGGCUCACCAAGGCGACGACGGGUAGCCGGCCUGAGAGGGUGACCGGCCACACUGGGACUGAGACACGGCCCAGACUCCUACGGGAGGCAGCAGUGGGGAAUAUUGCACAAUGGGCGCAAGCCUGAUGCAGCAACGCCGCGUGGGGGAUGACGGCCUUCGGGUUGUAAACCUCUUUUAGCAGGGAAGAAGCGAAAGUGACGGUGCCUGCAGAAAAAGCACCGGCUAACUACGUGCCAGCCGCCGCCGUAA